UUUACAGUGAAUUAUGUGCAGUGUGCCCAUGCAGCCCUUUGAUUUAACCCUGCCUCUGCCGGUCAGUGCUGCUGUUGCUGCUGCCUCUCAGCUCCUGCGUCACUUCCGCUGUACACAGGCUGCCUGGCCGGGCGAGUGGGGAGCUCCUCGGUACUGGAUGGAGAGCGGCUCCAGGGCGACCUGACCGGAAAUGACCUAGAGGCCUUACAGUUACACCGCGUGGAUUCCGAGCACCGUCCAGGGCGAGAACAAAAUCUAUCACAGACAACAGCGACAAAAAUAUAUAACGGAAGCCGCGUUCGCUUCCGCCGCCGCCGUGUGACGUUACUAACUACCUCAAGAAGCAGAGAGGAACGGGAGCGCGUCUCCGAUUUACCGACACUCCGCGCGGAAAGCAGUAUUAAGGACACUUAAACCGUCCGCAGGCCGGAUCUGCUAGAAAA